AAAGGUGGGUUUUUGUUUUUAUGUAUCAACUCUGUUCUCUUUGUCUCCACAGCUCCAGCACCCGUUUAAGUCCUCAGUUUUACCGUAAGGACCCAGAUUCAUCUACAGGGCCAGAGUGUGACCUCAAGAGGGUGGUGUCAGCUCAAAGGCCACUCAGCUGCUCUCAGGUGUCUUUGCUGGAAUGGAAAGAGAUCUUGUUGUAAGAGGAGCGUUGGAUGAACCAGCCCCAACCCAGGGUCUAGAGUUUGAGGAGUGACAAGGGCAGAUCUCUAAGGAAGCGAAACUCCUCUGAGACCCGACAGGGAACCAGCUUCCUCGAGGAACCUGAGUGAAAGGAGGACCUGUCACCUGAGCCUCCUCAGGUCAUCCAUCGUCCUCGAAGGAUCCAUCCUGAGGCAUCAACUGAAAAUUAUGGCUCCUGAGAAAGAAUAAAGCACACUGUUCACUGCCAGGAUGAGUGUCCCUGUGGCAGCAUCUAGAGCUUGCCUGUUGCUCCUGCUAACGACCUCUGUCCCCCGUGUGGCCCUUUCUUUCUGUCACUUCUGUAGCUGUACUGUUGACAACUCUUCUCUAGGUGUCUCUGAAGCCCUGAAAGGCCUCUCAGCUUGGCAUGGCCCCCCGCCCCGCCCCAGCUCGCUCUCUUGAUGCCCAUGUGUGUGACUUGACAGCAUUCCUGCCUUGCUGGCCCACUGCCCCACUCCAAGGAAGGACGCUCUCAAGGUCCAGGUCCCUGGCAGGGAGGAAAGGAGGUUGGUUCCUGACAGAGUUGUGAGGAGGAUGGAGAGGAGAAGACCCUGGCGCAGACCCCCACCUGGCCCCACCUCCUGCGAGGGGUCAGGGCAACAUCAGUGGAAUGAGAACCCUGCUGAGCACAUGGGGCAGCUGUUUCCGUGGGACCUGCUGUCCUGACCUGGGAGUGCCAUGCUGGGGACAUGCUGAGGACCACAGGUGAUUUGAUGAAGGAGGUGCAGGAGUGGCCUCCAGGGGCACAGCCCACCUCCACUGACCCCCUGGCUCCCUGAGGCAGAGACACGGGUGCAGAGCUGGCCUAUCACAUGCUCUUUCCUGGUACCCUGAGUUUUUGGGUGAAUGAAGAAAAGGAGGGAGGAGAGAGAGGGUGGUGACUCCUCCAGGGGACAUGCCCCAGGAUCUGAGCUUAGGGUGGAGCUGCUACGCCCUGGCCACCAUGGCUUCUGGUUUUCCAACCUGGUCUCCCCACCCUGUGAAGAGCCCACUAUCACACAUUGUCCUGGCGGCUGAGGACCUUGGCUGUACCUCAGCCCGUUUGUUGGCCAGUGAGAAUGUUUCUGGACACCCUACACUCCUUUUCUGGACAACCGUAGGAUGUGUGGACAGGAUGACUGUGGGCCCCAGGCCCCUUCUCCAUACAGAAAGAGGGCACACAGAGCCAGCUAUGGCGAGUCAUGCAGCAUGAGCCUAGAGUGUGUGAGCUCUGGGUUCCCACAAUACGGAGGCAGGACAGGGAUGCAGAUAAAAGGGGCCCAUGAACUAGCUUUUCCAGACCAGACCAAAUCUUUAAUUUUCUUAGUCCCGAUUUUCAACUUUAAAGUCAUGACUCUAGGAACUGGAGAGGUGGCUCAGUGGUUAAGAGCACUUGCUGUUCUCCCAGAGGACCAGGGUUCGAUUCCCAAAUGCCCACAUAAUGGCUCACAACUAUCUGUGAGUCCUGUUCUAGGGGACCUGACUCCCUCUUCUGAGCUCCUCCAGCAGCACACAUGCGUGUGGUGCACAGACGCACAUGCAGGCAAAAUACCAAUACACAUAUAAAAAUAAAAGAUAGAAAGCAUUUAAAAACCAGGACUGCUAUUUUGCUUCAUUUAAAUUUGAGAUAAGUUAAUAUAAAAUUCACUCUGUAAAAGAAGAAGUUAAUUGAAGUUAUUGACUUUUGUUUUUAAAGAUAGGAUCUCACUAUAUAGCUCUGGCUGUCCUGGACCUUACUAUGUAGACC
rnacentral:lncRNA from 1 species